CCUACGGGAGGCAGCAGUGAGGAAUAUUGGUCAAUGGACGAGAGUCUGAACCAGCCAAGUAGCGUGAAGGAUGACUGUCCUAUGGGUUGUAAACUUCUUUUAUCUGGGAAUAAAGCGUUCCACGCGUGCGCUUUUGUAUGUACCAUAUGAAUAAGGAUCGGCUAACUCCGUGCCAGCAGCCGCGGUAAUACGGAGGAUCCGAGCGUUAUCCGGAUUUAUUGGGUUUAAAGGGAGCGUAGGUGGAUUGUUAAGUCAGUUGUGAAAGUUUGCGGCUCAACCGUAAAAUUGCAGUUGAAACUGGCAGUCUUGAGUACAGUAGAGGUGGGCGGAAUGCGUGGUGUAGCGGUGAAAUGCAUAGAUAUCACGAAGAACUCCGAUCGCGAAGGCAAGUGGCCGGGGUGAAACUGACGCUGAGGCUCGAAAGUGUGGGUAUCAAACAGGAUUAGAUACCCGGGUAGUC
rnacentral:rRNA from 1 species